rnacentral:rRNA from 1 species
GAUGAACGCUGGCGGUCUGCUUAACACAUGCAAGUCGAACGGGGUGCUUCGGCACCUAGUGGCGGACGGGGGAGUAAAGCGUGAGGAUCUGCCCUUAGGACCGGGACAACAGCUGGAAACGGCUGGUAAUACAGGAUGUGCUGGAAGGUGAAACAUUAAUGGCAUGAGGAUGAACUCGGGUCUGGUUAGCUAGUUGGUAAUGUAAUGGACUACCAAGGCGACGAACAGUAGCUGGUAUGAAAGGAUGACCCGCCAAACUGGGACUGAGACACGGCCCAGGCUGCUACGGGAGGAAGGAUUAGGGAAUUUUCCGCAAUGGGCGCAACCCUGACGAAGCAAGACCGAGUGUGAAAAGAAGGUUUGUGGAUUGUAAACCCCUUUUUAUUGAGAAGAAGACAGUGACGGUACCAAGCGAAUCAGCAUCGGCUAACUCCGUGCCAGCCGCCGCCGUAACAC